rnacentral:rRNA from 1 species
GCCUACGGGGGGCAGCAGUGGGGAAUAUUGCACAAUGGGCGAAAGACUGAUGCAGCGACGCCGCGUGAAGGAUGAAGUAUUUCGGUAUGUAAACUUCUAUCAGCAGGGAAGAAAAUGACGGUACCUGACUAAGAAGCCCCGGCUAACUACGUGCCAGCAGCCGCGGUAAUACGUAGGGGGCAAGCGUUAUCCGGAUUUACUGGGUGUAAAGGGAGCGUAGACGGCGAUGCAAGCCAGAUGUGAAAGCCCGGGGC